CAGGGACGAAGUUCUGACGGUACCUCGCGAAUAAGCCACGGCUAACUACGUGCCAGCAGCCGCGGUAAUACGUAGGUGGCGAGCGUUGUCCGGAUUUAUUGGGCGUAAAGAGCCCGCAGGCGGCUUGGCAAGUUUCGAGUGAAAUCUCCCGGCUCAACUGGGAGGGCGCUCGGAAAACUGCCAGGCUUGAGGCAGGGAGAGGGAUGUGGAAUUCCCGGUGUAGUGGUGAAAUGCGUAGAUAUCGGGAGGAACACCAGUGGCGAAGGCGGCAUCCUGGCCCUGUCCUGACGCUCAGGGGCGAAAGCGUGGGAGCAAACCGGAUUAGAUACCCGGGUAGUCCACGCCGUAAACGAUGAGUACUAGGUGUAGGGGGUAUCGACCCCCUCUGUGCCGAAGCUAACGCGAUAAGUACUCCGCCUGGGGACUACGGCCGCAAGGCUAAAACUCAAAGGAAUUGACGGGGCCGCACAAGCAGCGGAGCGUGUGGUUAAUUCGAUGAUACGCGAAGAACCUCACCCAGGUUUGACAUGC
rnacentral:rRNA from 1 species